CCCGUGUCCAAAGACUAGUUUCUUCCUUUAUGUAGUUGCUUUUGAUACCUUCUCUCUUUUUUUCUUUUUUUAGCAAACUUUUGUCAUGGAUUUUUAUUAAUAGAAUAUGUCUCUUUGCUAUGUCUUACCUUCCGAAUGAAGUCCCAUGUUUCUUCUUGAUGCUUGUGUUGAUUGGCUCUUAUUGCGAUCAAGGGCUCGGAUGGAUCGGAUAGAUCAGUCUCCACAUCCGAGCCAAGGUCUCUCUUGAUUCUCCUCAAAGUACUCAUUUUAGCGGUAUGUGGCGAGCAAGGUAUUAAAAAUUAUAGGCUUGUUUGCACACCAUAUGCUGAAUGUUGACAGG
rnacentral:lncRNA from 1 species